CACGUAGGCGGAUAUUUAAGUCAGGGGUGAAAUCCCAGAGCUCAACUCUGGAACUGCCUUUGAUACUGGGUAUCUUGAGUAUGGAAGAGGUAAGUGGAAUUCCGAGUGUAGAGGUGAAAUUCGUAGAUAUUCGGAGGAACACCAGUGGCGAAGGCGGCUUACUGGUCCGUUACUGACGCUGAGGUGCGAAAGCGUGGGGAGCAAACA
rnacentral:rRNA from 1 species